AUGGAGCCGACCUUGAAAUACCACCCUUUAAUGUUUGAUGUUCUAACGUUGACCCGUAAUCCGGGUUGCGGACAGUGUCUGGUGGGUAGUUUGACUGGGGCGGUCUCCUCCUAAAGAGUAACGGAGGAGCACGAAGGUUGGCUAAUCCUGGUCGGACAUCAGGAGGUUAGUGCAAUGGCAUAAGCCAGCUUGACUGCGAGCGUGACGGCGCGAGCAGGUGCGAAAGCAGGUCAUAGUGAUCCGGUGGUUCUGAAUGGAAGGGCCAUCGCUCAACGGAUAAAAGGUACUCCGGGGAUAACAGGCUGAUACCGCCCAAGAGUUCAUAUCGACGGCGGUGUUUGGCACCUCGAUGUCGGCUCAUCACAUCCUGGGGCUGAAGUAGGUCCCAAGGGUAUGGCUGUUCGCCAUUUAAAGUGGUACGCGAGCUGGGUUUAGAACGUCGUGAGACAGUUCGGUCCCUAUCUGCCGUGGGCGCUGGAGAACUGAGGGGGGCUGCUCCUAGUACGAGAGGACCGGAGUGGACGCAUCACUGGUGUUCGGGUUGUCAUGCCAAUGGCACUGCCCGGUAGCUAAAUGCGGAAGAGAUAAGUGCUGAAAGCAUCUAAGCACGAAACUUGCCCCGAGAUGAGUUCUCCCUGACUCCUUGAGAGUCCUGAAGGAACGUUGAAGA
rnacentral:rRNA from 1 species